rnacentral:rRNA from 1 species
CAGCACCUCAAGUGGUCAGGAUGAUUAUUGGGCCUAAAGCAUCCGUAGCCGGCGCUGUAAGUUUUCGGUUAAAUUUGUACGCUCAACGUACAGGCUGCCGGGAAUACUGCAGCGCUAGGGAGUGGGAGAGGUAGACGGUACUCGGUAGGAAGGGGUAAAAUCCUUUGAUCUAUUGAUGACCACCUGUGGCGAAGGCGGUCUACCAGAACACGUCCGACGGUGAGGGAUGAAAGCUGGGGGAGCAAACCGGAUUAGAUACCCGAGUAGUCC